AAGGAGGCUGUGAGAGUUAGCAUUCCUGCCUGAUACCAUCUUCCUAAAUUUAGUCUGCCGUUGUUAUGUGCUUGCUGAACUAAUGGACUGUUCUGCUGGCCUCAAUUGGCUGGACAUCAUU
rnacentral:snoRNA from 1 species